rnacentral:tRNA from 1 species
GGAGAGGUGUCCGAGCGGCUUAAGGAGCCGGUCUCGAAAACCGGUGUGGCGUCCGCGUCACCGUGGGUUCGAAUCCCACCCUCUCCG